AGGACGAACGCUGGCGGCGCGCCUAACACAUGCAAGUCGAGCGAUAACCAGGGGCUUGCCCUUGGGGACAGCGGCGAACGGGUGCGUAACACGUGAGCAACCUGCCCCGAAGACCGGGACAACCCGAGGAAACUCGGACUAAUACCGGAUGUCCUCACCGGAUCGCAUGGUCUGGUGAGGAAAUGGAUUCCGCUUCGGGAUGGGCUCGCGGUCUAUCAGCUUGUUGGUGGGUAACGGCCUACCAAGGCGACGACGGAUAGCUGGUCUGAGAGGACGAUCAGCCACACUGGGACUGAGACACGGCCCAGACUCCUACGGGAGGCAGCAGUGGGGAAUCUUGCGCAAUGGGGGAAACCCUGACGCAGCGACGCCGCGUGCGGGAUGAAGGCCUUCGGGUUGUAAACCGCUUUCAGCAGGGACGAAAUUGACGGUACCUGCAGAAGAAGGCCCGGCCAACUACGUGCCAGCAGCCGC
rnacentral:rRNA from 1 species